rnacentral:rRNA from 1 species
UACGAAGGGGGCUAGCGUUGCUCGGAAUCACUGGGCGUAAAGGGUGCGUAGGCGGGUCUUUAAGUCAGGGGUGAAAUCCUGGAGCUCAACUCCAGAACUGCCUUUGAUACUGAAGAUCUUGAGUCCGGGAGAGGUUAGUGGAACUGCGAGUGUAGAGGUGAAAUUCGUAGAUAUUCGCAAGAACACCAGUGGCGAAGGCGGCUAACUGGCCCGGUACUGACGCUGAGAUACGAAAGCGUGGGGAGCAAACAGG